rnacentral:rRNA from 1 species
GGAUUAGAUACCCUGGUAGUCCACGCCGUAAACGAUGUCAACUUGAAGCUUGUGCGGUUGCGCAUGGGUUUCGGAGCUAACGUGUUAAGUUGACCGCCUGGGGAGUACGGCCGCAAGGUUAAAACUCAAAUGAAUUGACGGGGGCCCGCACAAGCGGUGGAGCAUGUGGUUUAAUUCGAAGCAACGCGAAGAACCUUACCUACCCUUGAAAUCCUCAGAACUUAGCAGAGAUGCUUUGGUGCCUUCGGGAACUGAGAGACAGGUGCUGCAUGGCUGUCGUCAGCUCGUGCCG